AGCUCCAAUAGCGUAUAUUAAAGUUGUUGCAGUUAAAAAGCUCGUAGUUGGAUUUUGGAUUGCGUCGAUCGGUCUGCCUCAUUGGUAUGCUACUGAUUGGUGCUUUCUUUUUGCUUGAAAGCCAUGUGUGCUCUUAAUUGCGUGUGCAUGGAGGUCAGGCCUAUUACUGUGAGAAAAUUAGAGUGUUCAAAGCAGGCUUUUGCUCGAAUACUACAGCAUGGAAUAAUGGAAUAGGAUCACAGUCCUAUUUUGUUGGUUUCUAGGACUGAGAUAAUGGUUAAUAGGGACAGUUGGGGGCAUUAAUAUUUAAUUGUCAGAGGUGAAAUUCUUAGAUUUAUGAAAGAUUAACUUCUGCGAAAGCAUUUGCCAAGGAUGUUUUCAUUAAUCAAGAACGAAAGUA
rnacentral:rRNA from 1 species